GAUGAACGCUGGCGGCGUGCCUAAUACAUGCAAGUCGAGCGAACGGACGAGAAGCUUGCUUCUCUGAUGUUAGCGGCGGACGGGUGAGUAACACGUGGAUAACCUACCUAUAAGACUGGGAUAACUUCGGGAAACCGGAGCUAAUACCGGAUGAUAUUUUGAACCGCAUGGUUCAAAAGUGAAAGACGGUCUUGCUGUCACUUAUAGAUGGAUCCGCGCUGCAUUAGCUAGCUGGUAAGGUAACGGCUUCCCAAGGCAACGAUGCAUAGCCGACCUGAGAGGGUGAUCGGCCACACUGGAACUGAGACACGGUCCAGACUCCUACGGGAGGCAGCAGUAGGGAAUCUUCCGCAAUGGGCGAAAGCCUGACGGAGCAACGCCGCGUGAGUGAUGAAGGUCUUCGGAUCGUAAAACUCUGUUAUUAGGGAAGAACAUAUGUGUAAGUAACUGUGCACAUCUUGACGGUACCUAAUCAGAAAGCCACGGCUAACUACGUG
rnacentral:rRNA from 1 species